AGGGGAGGGGCAAAGCAGCAGAGAUUCAGGUCAACAUUACUCAUGACAAUGAGUCACCCAUUGGCGAUUUACCUGAGCAGCCAUUGCUGCAAAUGGAGGAGGAACCAACUAUAAAUCCACAAGUCCCAAAAGAAAUGGAGCAAAUGUGUUUAGAUUUGACCCUCAGUCCCCCUCAGCUGUCAGACUCCAUAGCUAUAGAGAGUGGCCAAGACGAGGCUGCUGCGGACACUAUAGGACAGUUUGAUAAUGUAGCAGAAGAUGAGAAAGAGGAGGCAGUAGAAGAGAGUUUGCACAUAUAUAAUCCAGAUGCCUUAUGCCUCAUCUGUCAACAAAAGCUUAAUGACCGAUACAUGGUUUGCUGCAACAGUUGCCAGGGCUGUUUCCAUGGCGAUUGUGUUGGUGACAUGAAGAAGGAUGGCACAGAGUUUAUUUGCUCAUUUUGCACGACAAAAGAACAGAACCAGCUUCAGACAGAUCUCACGAUUCAACCUGAGCUGGGAAUGAGCCCAUUGAAAAGUCUAAUGCAGAGUCCACCGACGGAACGCAGUGAAGAUGCUGAGAACCAACAAACACAGGUGAAAAUUCUUUUGAAUUACAAAGUGUAGACACUACGUGUAAGUCCUUCAGUGUGUAUUGCUCAUUGUGUCAUAAUUUUGACUUGAGCGUCUGGUUUUAGAGCACUUUGGAAAUGAUGGAGGUUGAAGAUAACCCUUUAUUAACAGUGGAAACUGAACCUGCCACAGCGUCCCAGACCAGUUCUUCGGUCUGUAUUGGACCUGAUUGUGGUAAAGCUGCUUUGUCAGGAUCUGUGUACUGUUGCAGUGACUGCAUCAUGCAGCACGCAGCUGCCACUAUCAAAAACCUGGCGGUGCCUAAAGCACCCAAGACAAGAGGACGAACUCAGAGGAAAGCUGCCCCUGCCCGAGCCCCUGCUAAGACGCAGAGGGGGAGUAGGGUGUCGAAGAGAUUGGCGGACAAAACUGAAGCAGAGGAGCAGAAGGAAGAGGAGGAUGGACAGGAGUCAGAGUCCAGUCAAACUUGCGACCCCAGUCUCACUGAGGCUCAGGCUACACAUUGUAACGCCUCAACCAAUGAGGACCCUGGAGUCGCCACAGAUGUCAAUGAGACUUUUACUCCCUCAGAUCAGCCUUCAGAAGAGGCUACUCCUCCAACACCAGUCAUUCCCGUCAUUGCCACACCUUCCACACCGCCUGAAGUCAAAACCCACCCUCCAAAACCUACACCUGAACCAGUUUUACUACAGAACUCUCCUGAAAAGCCAAAAGAGCCGGUCGCUAGUAAUGUUCCCAAGCAGAGUCCAAAAAGAUCAUUGCAAUCAGAUUCUGUCACCUCGCCCAAACCAAUGGUCAGAGCGCAAACGACAACAAAACCCACUAAAUCCGCAGAAACUCAACCUCAUGCCGCAUUCAUCAACAGACUGCAUGAAACAGGUGCUAUUGUGGCCAAAAAGACUUCAUUCGUCAUACCGAAGAAGACCUCUGCAGUUCCCCCACCCCAACCGAACCAAGCAUCACCCUCUGCAUCGCCGCCGAAGCCGUCCUCUGUGCCUGCUUCGCAAGGCGAGACCCGGAACCUGCUCGUUCCCCCUGCGCCCAGUGCCCCUUCCUCUAGACCGUCCCAGCCCAACAACCAAGUCAGGCAAAGUAUCCAACGCUCUCUAGUCGGCAUCCUGUAUAAGAGGUAGGUUGUGUUUCAGUUUUUAACAUAAAUAGUACAUAUGUGUAUUUUUAUGU
rnacentral:lncRNA from 1 species